rnacentral:rRNA from 1 species
GACGAACGCUGGCGGCGUGCUUAACACAUGCCAGUCGAACGGAAAGGCCUCAGCUUGCUGGGGUACUCGAGUGGCGAACGGGUGAGUAACACGUGGGUGAUCUGCCUUGCACUCUGGGAUAAGCUUGGGAAACUGGGUCUAAUACCGGAUAUGAACUGCCUUUAGUGUGGUGGUUGGAAAGUUUUUUCGGUGCAAGAUGAGCUCGCGGCCUAUCAGCUUGUUGGUGGGGUAAUGGCCUACCAAGGCGUCGACGGGUAGCCGGCCUGAGAGGGUGUACGGCCACAUUGGGACUGAGAUACGGCCCAGACUCCUACGGGAGGCAGCAGUGGGGAAUAUUGCACAAGGGGCGGAAGCCUGAUGCAGCGACGCCGCGUGGGGGAUGACGGCCUUCGGGUUGUAAACUCCUUUCGACAGGGACGAAGCUUUUUGUGACGGUACCUGUAGAAGAAGCACCGGCUAACUACGUG